rnacentral:rRNA from 1 species
GAUAAACGCUGGCGGCGUGCAUAACACAUGCAAGUCGAACGAUAACGAUUAAAAGCUUUCUUCGGUAUGAACUUAAUUGGGAUAGUGGCGGACUGGUGAGUAACCCGUGAGUAACCUGCCUUUUACAAGGGGAUAGCCGUUGGAAACGACGAAUAAUACCCUAUGACAUCAAAUAAUCCCAUGAUACUUUGAUCAAAGAUUUAUCGGUAUAAGAUGGACUCGCGUCUGAUUAGCUAGUUGGAAGAGUAAAAGCCUACCAAGGAAACGAUCAGUCGCCGGAUUGAGAGAGCGUACGGCAACAUUGGGACUGGCACACGGCCCAGACUCCUACGGGAGGCAGCAGUGGGGAAUUAUGCACGCUGGGGGAAACACUGAUGCAGCGAGGCCGCGUGAUUUAGAAGGCCUUCGGGUUGUAAAAAUCUUUUGUAUGGGAAGAAAAUGACAGUACCAAACGAAUAAGGACCGGCUAAUUACGUG